GUAAGGAAUAUUGGACAAUGGACGCAAGUCUGAUCCAGCCAUGCCGCGUGAUAGAUGAAGGCCCUCUGGGUUGUAAAUAUCUUUUAUCUGGGAAGAAACUCCUCUAUUCUUAGAGGCCUGACGGUACCAGAGGAAUAAGCACCGGCUAACUCCGUGCCAGCAGCCGCGGUAAUACGGAGGGUGCAAGCGUUAUCCGGAUUCACUGGGUUUAAAGGGUGCGUAGGCGGGUUGAUAAGUCAGUGGUGAAAGCUCCGGGCUUAACUUGGAAACUGCCAUUGAUACUGUCAAUCUUGAAUGUCGUAGAGGUAAGCGGAAUGUUGCAUGUAGCGGUGAAAUGCUUAGAUAUGUUACAGAACACCAAUUGCGAAGGCAGCUUACUAUGCGAUAAUUGACGCUGAGGCACGAAAGCGUGGGGAGCAAACAGGAUUAGAUACCCGUGUAGUCC
rnacentral:rRNA from 1 species